GGGAUGUGCAACGUUGAAGCUCCUAGCCAAGCCUAUUUCAUUUGGGAGGUUCAAGUAGAGAAGGCAGACAGAGUACAAACUGUGAUGAAUCACCUGGAGCUUCGGAAAUCUGCGCGCCUGGAAGAACACAAAACUUUUCUGCCACCACAAUUGCUUUCAAGAAAAAGGUCCUCCGCACUUCUUAAGUGCACAGAGUCAAGGCCUCCUUAGACUUGCACCACUUCAUUUGCACAGCCAUCAACCAACACCCCAGGUCAGUAACUUCUGCAAGUGCAUAUGGAACUAUGACAAUACCAGGAGAAUGCAUGACAAUAAUGUAAAGGAAAUGGGG